UGGUAUAUACUGUACAUGUAUUCUCUUAACUCUUAUUGACUCACAGAUUGAUAAAGGAGUGUACAUAUCAAGGAAGCUAUUGUUUGCUGGUAUGCUGUUGAGAGUCAGUGGAUUGUGGACUAAAGGGGAAACUGUCAAGAGUGGAGUGCAUGGUGACUGGCUCUACCAGUAUUGUGUUUAGAUCAGCCUCAUUGCAAUUCUUCCUAUUCAUGCAAGUCAGUUCAGAGAUAUGGAGUUUGAUCCCAAUGGUGAUACUUACUUUGAUGAAGCAGUUGAUGGUUUUUGAAG
rnacentral:lncRNA from 1 species